rnacentral:tRNA from 1 species
AGGGCCGUAGCCCAACCGGUAGGAGGCACAGAGUUUAGGUCUCUGCCAGUGCGGGUUCGAAUCCCGUCGGCCCUA